UCCAUGUCAGCUAAACUGUGAGAUAUGAUUGCAAAAGAAAGGGAGGAAUUGUUUCCGAGAAAUAAAAGGAGCUGACAGGUUCACAAAGACUUACCAGAGGAAAGAUGCCAAAAGAUUAUCCUUGACUGGGAUGUAGGCAGGACAACGGGAAAGAUGAAAGGAGCCGGCACGCUUUAAAACGCUCCCAUGCUGAAGUUGCCCUCCACAUUUUCACUUGCUCUACAGAAGCUAAAUCAGAAAUGACACACGGGUACCAGGGGUGUGGUUUUUCUAGGAAAGACGAGAUGCUGCACAGCCCCCCUGAAGAGACUUGCUCUCAGUGAAGAUCUGGGCUCUGUGUUGAGACCUUGAUGAAGGGAUGUGGACCUAAAGCCAGGCAUGGUGGUGCACACCUUUAAUUCCAGCACUCAGGAGGCAGAGGCAGGUGAAUCUCUGUGUUGAGGCUAGCCUGGUCUACAGAGUGAGUUCUAGACAGCCAGGGCUACACAGAGAAACAAAAAAUGAGUUCCUCUGUCUUCCCCUCCCUCCAGCCCCUCCUCCUACCAAGCCUAUGCAGCCAGCAGAGCUCCUAAUAACAAUGUGGUCUGGAUCCUGGUAUUCUCUUCCCACUCAUGUAUCAAUCACACACCUGCGUAGAGAUGGCAUCAUGACUUCAUAAAUGUGAACCUCUUAGGACAAAGUGCAGAGAGAUCUGGAAUAGCCACAGGAGCGGCCCAGAGACUACAUGCCUGCUGCCAUCCAGGAGGCCCCUUCCUGAGUUGAUCACAUGUGACCUAAACCACUGAGGAGUCCAUUCUCCAACAGGGAAGAUGCUCAGGUCCGUAGAUGAAAUUCAGAUCAACCCUCGGCACUGAGGGAGAUAUGGCCUGAUGGCUGCUGUUUUCUGGGUGAAAUCCAGGCCUCCCGCCACGGCACUUUGGCACAUAGACCAGGCGCUUGUUGUUGGGCUGUGGGCAAGCUGUUUAGGCUGCGGACUCUGAGUUCCAUCCGCAAAUUGGAAAUCGUGAUGCCUGGCUCGACGCGUGAAGUGAGAACACGCAGGGGUUCCGCACCGCAUCUGCUCCCCAUGGCGGCAGCUAUUACAAUGAUGAUUCUCUGUGAUAAGCGGGAAGCAAUCAGUGACAGGAAGUUGGGGACAUUUGCCUCUAGAGAAUCCUCACCUGUCAAACAGGACAGCAGCUCCUUGGCCUCAGCUACUGGCUUCUGAGGACUUUUCAGCACAAGGGACUCAAAACAAGCAUCACCUGGUUCUUCCGGACAUGCUCGCAAUCCCAAUGUGUAAUGUUGAGUUGCAAUUAAAAUAUAAUGGUAAAAUGGCAGCAUAGGUGGUGAUUCACAGCAGCAGU